CCUAAACCUCCAAACCAAAAUCAAAACUCUCGGCCGCCACCCUUCCUCUCCAUUUUAUUAUUCCCUUCUUCCAUAGUAGAGGCGUUAAUUUAAAGCUGCAAGAACAAAGAAGAGAAAGAGGGGUGCUCAAGAGAAAAGUGCCUUUGAGAAAUUUCAAUCUCUUCUAAUGUCAAACUUAUAGUGAUUACGGAGAGUGCUUCAAUAUUAUGGGAUGGAUGAAGAUCAAGCACGAUGAGGGUGGCAACAUGAAUCAUCAAGCAAUACUUAUGUUCAUUUAAUGUGAAAUUCUGUACAUUAUUUUUUGUAUCUCUGUUACAAUCAAGCCUCACAUGGCUAGUUCUUUUCUUCAAAUUACUGUUAUUGUAGAAGACUUCUCUAAUGCAGAUGCUAUUAAUUUAUUAGUAAAAAUGUGUAUUUUGAAAUUUAUUUUGUGA